rnacentral:rRNA from 1 species
UACGUAGGCAGCGAGCGUUGUUCGGAGUUACUGGGCGUAAAGGGUGUGUAGGCGGUUCUUUAAGUUUGGUGUGAAAUCUCCCGGCUCAACCGGGAGGUGCGCCGAAUACUGAGGGACUAGAGUAUGGGAUGGGAAAGUGGAAUUCCUGGUGUAGCGGUGAAAUGCGUAGAUAUCAGGAGGAACACCUGUGGUGUAGACGGCUUUCUGGACCAUAACUGACGCUGAGGCGCGAAAGCGUGGGGAGCAAACAGG